rnacentral:tRNA from 1 species
AUUUAAAUAGUUUAUUAAAAUAUUGAUUUGUGGUGUCAAAGAUAUGAGGUUUAUUCAUUUUAAAUA